rnacentral:rRNA from 1 species
AAACCAACAGGGAUUGCCUCAGUAACGGCGAGUGAAGCGGCAAAAGCUCAAAUUUGAAAUCUGGCACCUUCGGUGUCCGAGUUGUAAUUUGAAGAAGGUAACUUUGGAGUUGGCUCUUGUCUAUGUUCCUUGGAACAGGACGUCACAGAGGGUGAGAAUCCCGUGCGAUGAGAUGUCCAACUCUAUGUAAAGUGCUUUCGAAGAGUCGAGUUGUUUGGGAAUGCAGCUCUAAGUGGGUGGUAAAUUCCAUCUAAAGCUAAAUAUUGGCGAGAGACCGAUAGCGAACAAGUACAGUGAUGGAAAGAUGAAAAGAACUUUGAAAAGAGAGUGAAAAAGUACGUGAAAUUGUUGAAAGGGAAGGGCUUGAGAUCAGACUUGGUAUUUUGCAAGCCUUACCUUCGUGGUGGGGUCCCCUGCAGUUUACUGGGCCAGCAUCGGUUUGGAUGGUAGGAUAAUGACUUGGGAAUGUGGCUUUGCUUCGGUAAAGUGUUAUACCCCUUGUUGAUACUACCUGUCUAGACCGAGGACUGCGUCUUUGACUAGGAUGCUGGCAUAAUGAUCUUAAGUCGC